rnacentral:rRNA from 1 species
UACGUAGGGUGCGAGCGUUGUCCGGAAUUAUUGGGCGUAAAGGGCGCGUAGGCGGCUUUGCAAGUGACGGGUGAAAUCCCUCGGCUUAACCGAGGAACUGCCUGUCAAACUGCAUGGCUUGAGACCGGGAGAGGUGAGUGGAAUUCCCAGUGUAGCGGUGAAAUGCGUAGAUAUUGGGAGGAACACCAGUGGCGAAGGCGGCUCACUGGACCGAGAUUGACGCUGAUGCGCGAAAGCCAGGGGAGCAAACGGG